CAGAGAGAUUGUAUUGCCUGAACAGUUGCAGGGACAAAAGACGCUGGGCUACUGCCCAGAUACAGUUUUAUACAGCAAAAAUUAAGAGAUAAGGUCUAAACAAUAGAGACAGUGUUCAGCAUGGGCCCAUCAGAACCACCCCAGGGGUCAGGUCCAAUGGGAACUGCUCAGGGGUGGGGAGAAGGGGGUUUACAUAAAGAUGCUGAAGCAAAACUUUCCUGAAACAAUGGGGCAUACAUAAAUGUAUCUUUUCCUCAUACCUAAAUGUAUCUUUUCCUCAGUUUCCAAUUCCCAAGGCCUUUCUAAAUCCCUUCCUCCACACUACCACACCAGCGCGAUAGCAACAUCUCCCUCUUCUUUACUUAAUAAGAUGAACGGUGCCUUGGGAGAAGGUAAAACUGCGGCUCUCAACUGCGGUGUCCUUCUGCUUGUCGUCUUCCCACCAAUCGCCCUCCGUGACGGCAGCAGCGAUGAGAACAGGUGCGGAAGCUUAGGCUUUGAGGUGAUGACCUUGGAGAUUAUUUGCUUAGAAUCCCAAAUGCUAACAAACUAAAAAACAGUGCAACUAGAAAGUAAAAGAAUGUCUUUAAAGAGACACUGCCCAUCCAGAAAGGUCCCAGUCUUUGAACAGAUCCUUAAACCAAUCCUCAUUUUCUUGCUUCACACUCCCAAUGAGGCUUCUCAUUUCCUGAAUGGACAAGUGGACACUCUGGCCUUUAGAUGACAGAUCAAAACAACACAACCCAUCAAACUCUUUACAUCCAUGACCAUGUGCCAACAGCAGGAAAUCAAUAGCUGCCCGAUUUUGGAGGGUAGCCUUUCUGGUUAUUCCUCGUCUUCUAGGAGGUCACUCAGGGCUGCUGAUGUUAAAUUUGCCUGCUUCGUCACCCCAGCAUUCCAGAUUGCCUAAUUCACUCAAUGCUUUUGCUGCCGCAACCCAUGGUAAAAACACAGAGACGGCAACUCUUUUGGAUUUUGCCCAAUGGUAAAUUUCUGCAUCACAAUGUUCAUCAAAUUGACUUGCACUUCGCUUAGUAAUUUUUGUCUCACCUUUUGCUCGCCCGAUUGGAAUUUGGAUCAUGUUGGGGGAAGCCAAGGGUCAGAUGCCCGAAAGUGCAUGGACCUCCAAUAAGACGAGAGGGGAUUCCUGGGUAUGCUCUGUCCCCACAGAUAAGAAACACCCCUUUGUCCAGCUUGCGGGGACGGAAAUCAGUGGUGGAUGCAAAUUUCAGCUUAUAGACAGCUGUGCACCAUUGACCCGCCCUGAAUUCUACCUUGUACUGUUUGACUUGCUCAUAUAGUUUACCUUCUUUGGUUGGGGAAAAAUCAAAUUGAAUGCAAUAUUCAGCUUUUGCGGAGCCCAGGAGUUCUAAUUCCUGGGGCUCUCCCUCAGCAGAGGGCAAGUGUAGGAUCCACUUUUGCCACAAAAUGAGGGGGUUUUGCACUGGUAUUUUAACUUGUUCUACAGCUCCUCGGCGCCUGUAGAACUCUGCCCCCGCUUCAGGUAUUUUAUUUUCGUUCCACCUGCUUUUUGCGGGCGGACCAGACCGAUUGGGAACUCAUCCCCCUUACUUGGAAACCCCUACUAAACAUGUGGACAUCGGAUUUUCUGCUGAGGCAGUAGACAAACACAUGUGAUCUUGUUUCAAGGCUUGGGCGAGUGUGACCCACACAUUUUUCUUGGGCUGUGGAACAAUCCACGCGUCCACCGUGCACGGGUGGCCAUUGUCUGGAACCAAACGAUGAGCAGGAAUGUGGAAAUUGACAUUCUGCUAGUCUGAAAGACAGAUAAAAUCAUAUAACAAGGUAAACUAACUCUGAAAAGGUACAAUUUGCUCUGCCAGUAUAAAGGAAAAAGAUUCCCCCUGCUCCCACUUUCCUCCCUUGAUAAGGAGGAGGCCCUGCAGACCCCGGAGUUCUCAGGGUUGCUGCUGCUGAAGCAACCACCCUUUCCCGCGGACUUAUCACUGAGUCCUCUGUCAUUAGUGUAGCUUUUCUCGUGCACUCCUCAAUGAGCUGAUUGAGUGUGGGUGGAGGCGAUGCUGGAAGGGCCAGGAUGACUCGUUGACAGGCCUCAUUUGCAUUUGUGGUGGCAAUUUCUAGUGUGAGCUGAUCUUGGAGCUCUGGAUUUUGCACCCUUUUCUCGACUGAAGCUCUCACUCGAUCCACAAAAUCCAUGAACGGCUCUGCAACAGACUGCUUUAAAGCAGUAUAAGAAAUGACAGGUUCUUUAGAAGGCAUGUUAAAAAAUGCACGUUCUGCCGCAUCCC
ensembl:lncRNA